UUAGUGGAAGCGUCUGGAAAGGCGCGCGAUACAGGGUGACAGCCCCGUACACAAAAGCGCAUGUGCUGUGAGCUCGAUGAGUAGGGCGGGACACGUGGUAUCCUGUCUGAAUAUGGGGGGACCAUCCUCCAAGGCUAAAUACUCCUGACUGACCGAUAGUGAACCAGUACCGUGAGGGAAAGGCGAAAAGAACCCCGGCGAGGGGAGUGAAAAAGAACCUGAAACCGUGUACGUACAAGCAGUGGGAGCACAGGUUUACCUGUGUGACUGCGUACCUUUUGUAUAAUGGGUCAGCGACUUAUAUUCUGUAGCAAGGUUAACCGMAUAGGGGAGCCGGAGGGAAACCGAGUCUUAAUUGGGCGUUAAGUUGCAGGGUAUAGACCCGAAACCCGGUGAUCUAGCCAUGGGCAGGUUGAAGGUUGGGUAACACUAACUGGAGGACCGAACCGACUAAUGUUGAAAAAUUAGCGGAUGACCUGUGGCUGGGGGUGAAAGGCCAAUCAAACCGGGAG
rnacentral:rRNA from 1 species